GCAGCCUCUUCUAAAUGCUUCUCUGCCCUGCCAGUCUGAACCUCCUGUGGAAACACUGGCUGCUGUGGAGGCAGUCUGGCCUAAGGGCCCCCCCGCUGACCCAGGGGCCAUCCCUCCACCGGGACCACGCGCUGCAGAGGCGGGCCUACGCCGCAUGGAGAGCAGCCUGGGUCACCGCAGGCCGGGCCACGCAGCAUCACCGGUCACGCUGCCUGUCUGCAGCCUGGAGCGAGUGGGUGGCCCGGCACGCACGCAGAUCCAGGCUGCGGCGUGUGAGUGCAGAGGCAGAACAGGUGCUCUCCAGACGGGUGUUAUCAGCGGCCUUUGGGGGGUGGCGCCUCCAGUAUGCCCUGGUGGACCGCAGGCAGAGGAGGAGGCUGCAGGAGGCGUUUACAUCCUGUCACAGCCGGGUUCGGGCCAGACGAGGGGCCCGGGAGCUGGAGGGAAGGAAACGCGCGCAGCUGGCAGGAAUCCUGCUUGGCUGGCAGCGUGUGGUGGAGCGCCGGGCAGUGUGUGUGAGACACUGCAGAGAGCGGGACAGUCGCUUGGCCACACACACACUGCUCCGCUGGAGAACAGCAACAGGGCUACGUUUGCAUCACACACACCUGCUGACAAUUCUCCUGGAGAGCAGGGGAACAUCGGGCCAGAGCCUGGAGAAUAUAGCAGAGAAUACAAGCCAGACAGAACAGAGUUUGACGCCACGGUUUAAUGGAGACGCCAGGCUGACCACACUGGAGGAGUUGUGUGACCUCCUUCAGCUCCAGAGAAGCUUUGACUCCUGGAGGAGCAGGAGGAGCAAGCAAGAGCUAGCCAGAUUACACCGCGCGGCCCGGGCACGGCGUCGAGCGAGGUUGGCACUGCAGCGCUGGCACGAGCUAGCUCAGGAUAUCGAGGCCUGCCCAGUGCUACGGUUCAGAACCAGAGUGUCCGCACUGGGGCAGUCUUCCUCAGGGAUCGGCUUUGCCUCUCCCCUUCCACUCUCUGACGCUGGGUGUAAUAUCAACACCAGGCCCACCGAUUGGGUGA
rnacentral:lncRNA from 1 species